rnacentral:rRNA from 1 species
UGCAGUCGAACGGAAAGGCCCUUGCUUGCAGGGGUACUCGAGUGGCGAACGGGUGAGUAACACGUGGGUGAUCUGCCUUGUACUUCGGGAUAAGCCUGGGAAACUGGGUCUAAUACUGGAUACGACCAUUCCACGCAUGUGGUGGUGGUGGAAAGCUUUCGGGUGGUUUUGGAUGGACUCACGGCCUAUCAGCUUGUUGGUGGGGUAAUGGCCUACCAAGGCGACGACGGGUAGCCGGCCUGAGAGGGUGUACGGCCACAUUGGGACUGAGACACGGCCCAGACUCCUACGGGAGGCAGCAGUAGGGAAUCUUCCGCAAUGGACGAAAGUCUGACGGAGCAACGCCGCGUGAGCGAAGAAGGUCUUCGGAUCGUAAAGCUCUGUUGUCAGGGAAGAACAAGUACCGUUCGAACAGGGCGGUACCUUGACGGUACCUGACGAGGAAGCCACGGCUAACUACGUGCCAGCAGCCGCGGUAAU